GUCUGGAGGCACCAGAAGGGCAAGUACUCUAUGUUUUAAAGUACAUAAUAGAUUGUGGUACUGGAUUACAAAACCUAAUACAAUUUUUUUUUUUUCAUGGAAAAGAAAAGCACACAAUAGAUGUUUCCAAUUAUUCGGUAGAAGAAGAAAUUCUUUGAGCAAAAGGCCAUCCAGACCUGUUUUAAUUUCUAAAUAGGAUUGGGAUGGGCUGAGCUCCCUUUUGCCUGCAUAACUUUCUGCAGCCCUCGGCUCUUUUCUGGUAAGAGUAUUUUGGUUUCCUUUUGGGGUCUCUCUCCCCACUCUUAGUCUAGGGGAGGUUAGAAACCCAUAUUGGCCAGCCAGUCUGUCCUUGGCAGCUGAAGUUGGUUCACAGAGGCAAAUGGCUCAGGUGGGGGCAAUGAGAAGCCACCCAGGUCUGCUCUCGUUUUCUCCAUGGAGACGGUGAGCUGGCACAAUGUGGCCAGGAUUUCAGAAGAGACUGCCCAGGAAUGAAGCCAUGUGGAGGAAAGUCAGACUGAAACAGGAAGAGAGAUGGAUGACACAUCCGGAUUAAGUCAUGCCUUAUGUCCAGUUUUAGGAAAUUCACAAAGGGGCCAAAUUGGACAGGAGAAGCAACUGGAUGCAGGACCCAGCUUAUCUCGCGGAGAGGACGAGGAGGGGACAUGCGCCAUAGAGAUGUGAGUAGAUCUCAGCUGGACUUGAUUCAAACAAAACGAACUACUUAAUGACAUGCACGUGGUAACCCAGGAAAUUUGAUGAUGGUAACAUGGGCCAUUUUAUGUACAAUGAAUUAUUAUUGCAGUUAUGUUAGAACUUGUAAAAGACCGUUUUCAGAGGUUUGUUAAGUAUUUAUCUAUAAAUGACAGGACAUCUGGGAUUUGCUUCCAAAUAAUCCAGUGGUGGGAAAGGGUCUGUAGGGCUUGGAGAACACAGGCCUGGUGAAAACUCACUGCUGAGGCUCGGGUGGGUGGGCAUGUGGGUGGUUUGUUGUUUAAGUAACAGCUCUGUUGUAAUUCAGUAAUUUUCGGGUUACAGAGC
rnacentral:lncRNA from 1 species